AUUGAACGCUGGCGGCAGGCCUAACACAUGCAAGUCGAGCGGAUGAAGGGAGCUUGCUCCUGGAUUCAGCGGCGGACGGGUGAGUAAUGCCUAGGAAUCUGCCUGGUAGUGGGGGAUAACGUCCGGAAACGGGCGCUAAUACCGCAUACGUCCUGAGGGAGAAAGUGGGGGAUCUUCGGACCUCACGCUAUCAGAUGAGCCUAGGUCGGAUUAGCUAGUUGGUGGGGUAAAGGCCUACCAAGGCGACGAUCCGUAACUGGUCUGAGAGGAUGAUCAGUCACACUGGAACUGAGACACGGUCCAGACUCCUACGGGAGGCAGCAGUGGGGAAUAUUGGACAAUGGGCGAAAGCCUGCUCCAGCAAUGCCGCGUGUGUGAAGAAGGUCUUCGGAUUGUAAAACACUUUAAGUUGGGAAGAAGAGCAGUAAGAUAAUACCUUGCUGUUUUGACGUUACCAACAGAAUAAGCACCGGCUAACUUCGUG
rnacentral:rRNA from 1 species